UUCUAAGAAAAAUCCCAGGAAAUUGGUAUUGCCCAAAAUAUGAAGAAGAAAAGAGAAUACCAUUCCAAGCUAUAAAUGAGGGAGUGAUGCAGAGUUAUGAUGGGCGUCUAAAUAUAGGGAAUGAAUCGGCCAUGCAAAUGCAAUUAUACGGAACUGAUACUAUUAUUUUGCCCCUGUGUUUGCAUGCAAAAAGAUGGGGAUUGGGAAAGAAUGGCAAAGCUACCACCAAAUGGGGUCCAUCUCCUUCUUCACGGGUUCUUCUAUUACCAGAUUCACGCAUGCAGUUUUGGCUCUCUUGCCCCGCUUCACUACACCACAUUUUUUAUCUUUUUCUUUUCUACAU
rnacentral:lncRNA from 1 species